rnacentral:rRNA from 1 species
UACGGAGGGUGCAAGCGUUAUCCGGAUUUACUGGGUUUAAAGGGUGUGUAGGCGGUCUAUUAAGUCAGCGGUGAAAUCUCCGGGCUCAACCCGGAAACUGCCAUUGAUACUAUUAGUCUUGAAUGUUGUUGAGGUGGGCGGAACGGGUCAUGUAGCGGUGAAAUGCAUAGAUAUGACCCGGAACACCGAUUGCGAAGGCAGCCCACUAAGCAACGAUUGACGCUGAGGCACGAAAGCGUGGGGAUCAAACAGG